CUUUGGAAAAAUAUUUGAUCGUACCCGCUAACGCUACGCAUGCGCUAACUCCACCGACCACCAUUCCGCUGAGAAACAAAAGAAAAUACAAAAGACGUCGCAGGGAAAUGCUAACAGAAUGGCCUGGUAAAGAGAAGAUCUGUUUAACUAUUCUAACCUUCUUCGUCCGAAAAGCUGGGUACAGAGGGACACACUCAGCAUGUGGGAUCUUAGUUCCCCAACCAGGGAUCCAGCGGGCGCCCUCCUGCAGUGGAAGCUUGGAGUCUUCACCGCUGGAAUGCCAGGGAAGUCCUCUCUCCCUUACUUUAUUACAGUUCAUGUCAUAAUCACAAGUUGCUCCAUGAAGCAGGUAUGAUGAGAACAGAAUAGGUGUUCUCAAAAGAGAUGGAACUCAAAAAAUUGGGGAUUGAAGAUCACAAUGCAUCAUCCAAAAACACCAGCAGAGGAAGAAAGCUACCUAUGUUGAUUAUUUGACACUUCAUAUCUAGAGACCGUGUUGGAAAAUAUCAAGAAUAGAGGAAGAACAAGAAGAUUUACCUGAUGUUGAGAAGUGGCUGGAAGGAUUCAGAAACUUGAGAGAAGAAUUUGAAAAAUAUGACCCAGAAAAAAUAGGUUUAUCACCUCAAGGUCGCAGGAAGGCUGCAGCUGCUCUGGACAUCACUUCAGACAGCCUCAUUCAAAGGUGUUUUAUUUAUUUAUUUAUUUGGCCGUGCAGCGUGGCACCCCUUGCAGUGGAAGCAUGGAGCCUUAACCACUGGACCACCAGGGAAGUCUCCUAUGACAUAUACUUUAAAAUUUAUAUCUAUCUAUCUAUCUGUCUAUCUAUCUAUCUGAGAGAGAAUCACAGUAUGUUUUAUUUGAUGUCUAUCUUCUUCCACUCAGCAUGUUUUUGAAAUUCAUCCAUCGUUCGGCAGUAAUUUGUUGGUGCUGGGUAGUAUUCCACUCCCUGUAUAUGCAACAAUUUGUCUAUCCAUUCAUCUGUUGAACAUUUGGGUUGUUUCCAGUUUUGGGCUGUUAUGGACAAAGCUGCUGGUCUUUGUGUAGACAUAUGUUUUACUUUCCUUUGGGUAAAUACUUAGGAGUAGCAUUGUUGGGUUGGAUGAUAAGCAUUGGUUUACUUUAUAAGACACAGCCAAACUGUUUUCCCAAAUGUAAUAUUGUAAUAUUUUAUGUUCCCACAACAAUGUUUGAGAAUCCAAUUCAUCCAACACUUGAUAUUGUCAGUCCUUCUAAUUGUAGCCAUUUAAAUGGAUGUAUAGGGCAGUUACUCAUUGUGGUUUUAAUUUGCAUUUUCUUCAUGACUUAGCAUGUUGUUCAUCUUCUCAUGAGUUUAUUGGCCAUUCAUAUAUCU